GGCUAUCACUCCUACGGGAGGCAGCAGUGGGGAAUAUUGCACAAUGGGGGAAACCCUGAUGCAGCCAUGCCGCGUGUGUGAAGAAGGCCUUCGGGUUGUAAAGCACUUUCAGUAGGGAGGAAGGUAGUGUAGUUAACACCUGCAUUAUUUGACGUUACCUACAGAAGAAGCACCGGCUAACUCCGUGCCAGCAGCCGCGGUAAUACGGGAGGGUGCGAGCGUUAAUCGGAAUUACUGGGCGUAAAGCGCAUGCAGGCGGCCUGUUAAGUCAGAUGUGAAAGCCCGGGGCUUAACCUCGGAAUUGCAUUUGAAACUGGCAGGCUAGAGUCUUGUAGAGGGGGUAGAAUUUCAGGUGUAGCGGUGAAAAUGCGUAGAGAUCUGAAGGAAUACCAGUGGCGAAGGCGGCCCCCUGGACAAAGACUGACGCUCAGAUGCGAAAGCGUGGGGAGCAAACAGGAUUAGAUACCCUGGUAG
rnacentral:rRNA from 1 species